rnacentral:rRNA from 1 species
UUCCUACGGGGGGCAGCAGUGGGGAAUAUUGGACAAUGGGCGCAAGCCUGAUCCAGCAAUGCCGCGUGAGUGAUGAAGGCCUUCGGGUCGUAAAGCUCUUUUACCAGGGAUGAUAAUGACAGUACCUGGAGAAUAAGCUCCGGCUAACUCCGUGCCAGCAGCCGCGGUAAUACGGAGGGAGCUAGCGUUGUUCGGAAUUACUGGGCGUAAAGCGCGCGUAGGCGGCUACUCAAGUCAGAGGUGAAAGCCCGGGGCUCAACCCCGGAACUGCCUUUGAAACUAGGUGGCUAGAAUCUUGGAGAGGUCAGUGGAAUUCCGAGUGUAGAGGUGAAAUUCGUAGAUAUUCGGAAGAACACCAGUGGCGAAGGCGACUGACUGGACAAGUAUUGACGCUGAGGUGCGAAAGCGUGGGGAGCAAACAGGAUUAGAUACCCCGGUAGUCAU